GAUGUGUAUAAGAGACAGACAGCGGGGUCAUGGGACCGCGACAUUCGACGGAAGACGAAGUGCAAUUACCUGGAAAGGUAAGCCGUGGAGGGUGACAGCCCCGUGCACGACACCUCUUUCGAAGAUAGCGGUAUCCCGAGUAGGGCGGGACACGAGAAAUCCUGCCUGAAUUCGCCAGGACCGCCUGGCAAGGCUAAAUACUCCCGAGAGACCGAUAGUGAACCAGUACCGCGAGGGAAAGGUGAAAAGUACCCCGAGCAGGGGGGUGAAAUAGACCCUGAACCCGCGCGCCUACAAGCGGUCGGAGCCAUGAAAUAUGGUGACGGCGUGCCUUUUGCAUAAUGAGCCUACGAGUUAGUCGUCACCAGCGAGGUUAAGGGCUUCAGGCCCGUUAGCCGAAGUGAAAGCGAGCCUUAACAGGGCGUCGAGUUGGUGGCGCUAGACGCGAAACCUUGUGAUCUACCCACGAGCAGGUUGAAGUCGCGGUAACACGUGAUGGAGGACCGAACCGGUAAACGUUGAAAAGUUUUCGGAUGACUCGCGGGUAGGGGUGAAAGGCCAAUCAAACUGGGAAAUAGCUCGUACUCUCCGAAAUGCAUUUCGGUGCAGCCUGUGAUGUUCUGUUCCAGAGGUAGAGCUACUGGUUGGACGCGAGGGCUUCACCGCCUAUCAAAUCCGGAUAAACUCCGAAUGCUGGAACACGAAAUCAUGGAGUGAGCCCGCGGGUGCUAAGGUCCGCGGACGAGAGGGAAAGAACCCGGACCACCGGCUAAGGUCCCGGAUGGACAGUUAAGUUGAUCAAACGAGGUGGGAUCGCGGAGACAGCUAGGAUGUUGGCUUGGAAGCAGCCAUUCAUUUAAAGAGUGCGUAACAGCUCACUAGUCGAGCGAUCCCGCGUGGAUAAUACACGGGCAUCAAACUGUCAACCGAAGCCGUGGGGUUAGUUAAUGACUAACCGGUAGGAGAGCAUUCCUGCCAGCUUAGAAGGUCACCCGCGAGAGUGACUGGAGCGGCAUGAAAAGCAAAUGUAGGCAUAAGUAACGAUAAUGGGGGCGAGAACCCCCCACGCCGCAAGACCAAGGAUUCCCCGGCAAUGUCAAUCAGCCGGGGGUCAGCCGGCCUCUAAGGCUAACCCGAACGGGGACGCCGACGAGAAACGGGUUAACAUUCCCGUGCUUCUCGUCACCGUGACGCGGUGACGGGGUGAUGAAUGGACCGCGCGCUGACGGAAUAGCGCGUUGAAGGCCGUACCCGAUGACGGUGGUAGUCAAGCACGCCACCGGAGGCGAGAGCCGAUAGUACCACGAGACUCCGGUCGAGUGGAUAGCGUCCAGGCAAUUUACCCCCUAGAAAACCCGCUAAACUUCAAGUGACGAGGAACCGUACUGUAAACGGACACACGUGGUCGGGUAGAACAUACCAAGGCGCUCGAGUGAUUCAUGGUCAAGGAACUAGGCAAAAUAGUCCUGUAACUUCGGGAAAAAGGACGCUCUAGUGAUAGAGCCGCAGAGUAAUGGCCCAGGCGACUGUUUACCAAAAACACAUGGCUAUGCCAAAUCGAAAGAUGACGUAUAUGGCCUGACACCUGCCCGGUGCCGGAAGGUUAAGAGGAGAGCUCAUCCGCGAGGAGAAGGUUUGAAUUGAAGCCCCGGUAAACGGCGGCCGUAACUAUAACGGUCCUAAGGUAGCGAAAUUCCUUGUCGGGUAAGUUCCGACCUGCACGAAUGGUGUAACGAUCUGGGCACUGUCUCGACCAUGAGCUCGGUGAAAUUGUAGUUCCGGUGAAGAUGCCGGGUACCCGCGACGGGACGGAAAGACCCCGUGAACCUUUACUGCAGCUUCGCGUUGUUCCCGGGCACGGGACGUGUAGGAUAGGUCGGAGGCUACGAGUCGGUUUCGCCAGGAAUCGAGGAGCCAUCGUUGAAAUACGACCCUUCUCUUGUCUGGGAUCUAACCCUUUGUAUAGGGGACACCGCGUGGUGGGUAGUUUGACUGGGGUGGUCGCCUCCAAAAGCGUAACGGAGGCUUCCAAAGGUACCCUCGGGUUGGUUGGUAAUCAACCGUAGAGUGCAAUGGCACAAGGGUGCUUGACCGGGAGACCAACGAGUCGAUCGGGUGCGAAAGCAGGGCAUAGUGAUCCGGUGAUCCCGCGUGGAAGGGUCAUCGCUCAAAGGAUAAAAGGUACUCCGGGGAUAACAGGCUGAUCGCCCCCAAGAGCUCAUAUCGACGGGGCGGUUUGGCACCUCGAUGUCGGCUCGUCACAUCCUGGGGCUGGAGAAGGUCCC
rnacentral:rRNA from 1 species